rnacentral:rRNA from 1 species
AGAUUGAACGCUAGCGGGAUGCUUUACACAUGCAAGUCGAACGGCAGCGCGGACUUCGGUCUGGCGGCGAGUGGCGAACGGGUGAGUAAUAUAUCGGAACGUGCCCAGUAGCGGGGGAUAACUACGCGAAAGCGUGGCUAAUACCGCAUACGCCCUACGGGGGAAAGGGGGGAUUCGUUCGGAACCUCUCACUAUUGGAGCGGCCGAUAUCAGAUUAGCUAGUUGGUGAGGUAAAGGCUCACCAAGGCGACGAUCUGUAGCUGGUUUGAGAGGACGACCAGCCACACUGGGACUGAGACACGGCCCAGACUCCUACGGGAGCAGCAGUGGGAAUUUGGACUAAUGGGGGAAACCUGGAUCCAGCCAUCCCG